rnacentral:rRNA from 1 species
UACAGAGGGGGCAAGCGUUGUUCGGAAUUACUGGGCGUAAAGGGCGCGUAGGCGGCCUUCUAAGUCGAACGUGAAAUCCCCGGGCUCAACCCGGGAACUGCGUCCGAAACUGGCAGGCUCGAAUUCGGGAGAGGGAUGCGGAAUUCCAGGUGUAGCGGUGAAAUGCGUAGAUAUCUGGAGGAACAUCGGUGGCGAAGGCGGCAUCCUGGACCGAUAUUGACGCUGAGGCGCGAAAGCGUGGGGAGCAAACAGG